UCUGCCAUAUGGGCAGACCAUUAUCCUGAUGUGGCAGGGGCAUUCUCUCUCAUACUAUAUGGUUAAUGAGUUCCUUUGACUUAAAGAGGAUUCAAUUCCUUCAGUCCCGCAACUCUUUUGGUGUCUGUUGCCCCUCGGUGACUGACUUCACCAGUAAAUCAACUUUCUUGAAAUUUCUAAAUUUUUGGUGUCAUGUGGGUUGUGCACAAAAUUUGAUUGUAGAAGUAGAGGAACUACCAUUGUCCUGUCAAUGUCAAGCAGUAGUCGUGAUGAAAAAGCCAAAGAUAAUACUGACGGACUUACAUAUAAGGAUGCUGGUGUUCACAUUGAUGCUGGAUCUGAGCUUGUUAGAAGAAUGGCCAAGAUGACACCUGAAAUUGGAGGAUUUAGAGAGUAACAUCCUUUAGUGAUUUGCCAGAGAGAUAAGGUUAAAUGACCAAGUUCUUAGAAGCAGCUGAGACAUCCAAUUUGGAAACGGAAAAUAUUGCUGCUGGAGUACUGUACCUUUUUCUCUCCUUCCCGAAAAUGGUUCUUGUUUCUUGCUAGGAAAAAAAAUCAGCAACGACCAUUGCUUUGCACGUGUGUCUGGCCUCUUUUUCUAUUUUGAAGGGCUUGCUCUGGACUGGGAUGACUGAAAAUGGAUUGGUCUAUGACAUGAGAAAAGAUAGAUUAUGUCUCAGGUUGGAUUCUUUCUUAAAGAUCAAUCAGCUGAUUGAUGUAGCUUACCUGCAACAAAAUUCAAGUACAAGUCUAGCCUUUAAUAUGGGGAUGAGAAUGGUUUUAGUUGUUGACAAGGAGGCUGCUAUCAGAAUACUAAGGGUUGGAGAGGGACAAAUUCAAUGCAUUGCAUCGAUGAGGUAGUGAGGGGUGAGAGAGUGAGCUACCAAUAAUAUGUGGAUGAUAUGCUAUAGAUCUACAGCAGGAAGAGUUUUUUUACUUUUCCCAGGCAGAUGGUUCACAAGUUUAGAUUUUCAUGCAAUUGCCUUGAAUUUUUUUGGCUCAAUUGUAAGCAUUGUAUUAGUUAGUGCUUGAGUUAUGAACACCACCGCUUUUGUAACUUUUGUUGCGCUUGAUGUCCAAUUUUUUCCUAUUGAGAAUUCAGAUUAAACAUAUUCACCUAUUUGAUGCUAUUGUAUUCGUGAUUGGGUUAUUAAAAAAAAUGGAUCCACAUACCAGUACUAUAUUUAAGGAUGGUACGAGCACAUACCUGUACUGUAAAUACACACUUCUUUCUUGUAUCAAUACAAAAAGUAAAAAAUAAUUCAAUGUCAUAAAAUGUCUGAAAAAAUGUUCUUGAGUUAUCAAGACCAAAAAAUGCCUUUUAUCAACAGAUUCAAUUUAUUGACCUCUGUAGAGUAUUCUUCAGGUUCCAAACUUUAGGCUGCAUUUGGCUUGUCAGCUUAUCUUUGUUUGUGGUUUCUUCUUUUCCUUCUAAUGUUUGAAGUCCAGGAUGUAGUCCUGUUUCUUGGCCUAUGAUGUUUUGUUUUUGCAUGUAGUAGUAGGAUGGCAACUUGUGCUUUGUUUAAGACGUUUUGCUUCUGCAUGAUUAUUUACUAAACAUGCUUGGCAGCUCCUGAAAACAUUAGCAUGCUGAAGAAAUUAAGCUAAACACUUGAGCAUAAUCAUGAAAAACUACAAUCUGCUUAUCCUCCCUGCAGAUUUCUUUUUCUGUUUAUACAGCUCCAAAUAAAUGUUAAUUGAAGAACCAAUCAUGCAUUGUUACUCAGAAUAUCAGGUUUCUUAUUCACAUCCAAUAAUAUUAAAGGUACAGAAUGAAAGUAAUCAGAAAACAACAAGAAAUUCCAAGUUAAUGUCCAAUUUCCAAUUUGCAAGUAACCAAUUUGCAGAACAGGUCCAAAACUCUCUCAUCUGAUGUUUGCAGACGACCUCAUCUUAUUUCAGAAGCUAGUGUUGAACAAGCUAAAGUUAUAGCUAACGUAAUGUAAAAGUUUUGUAAUAUGUCUGGGCAGAAAAUUAAUGUGGCUAAAUUCAAUUUGUUUUGUUCUAAGAACAUAUCCAGAAGGAUAGUAAAGAAAAUUAGCACAUAAACAGGGAUGAGGAUGCCACAUGACCUGGGGCAAUAUUUGGGAAUGCCAAUACUUCAUAAUAGGGUGUCCAAAGACAUGUUUUCAGGUUUAUUAAAGUUCAAGGGAAACUUGUAGGCUGGAAGAAGUAUGCAGUGAAAGUGACUUUGAUUAAGACAUUGUUAUCAGCACUCCCAACUUGCAUGAUGCAGACGGUGGCAAUUCCUACUUACGUAUUGGAUGAGUUGGAGAAAUGCAUGAGGAACUUCCUAUGGAAUGGAACGAAGGACAGCAGAGGUAUGCACCACAUAGGCUGGAGAAUUGUAACCCAAGCUAGAGGCAAGGGGGGUUUAGGAAUACUGAGAUUAAAGGAAGCGAAUAAAGCUUUAAUUGCAAAAUUCAACUGGAGAUACCACGAACAAAAGGGAGCAUUAUGGACAGAGGUCCUUAGAAGUAAAUAUAGCAGUGAAGAGGAAUUCCAAAGGUUUAAAACACCUUCCAAAACAGGCGCUUCACCAGUUUGGAGAAGCUUGAGGGUUGGAAAUGAAGUGGUAAGUAUAGGUUUGAAAUGGAGGUCGGGAAAUAGCGAGCGUAUUCGCUUAUGGGAAGAUUACUGGGUGGAGAAUUCAUCUUUAAAGGAUGAUGUGCUGAAAGAGUUGCCAGAGGAAGCGACAGACAGGACAGUAAGUUAGCAUUGGGAUUAACACAAGGGGCUGGAAUUAGAAUGAGUUUUCAUAAUACUUACUGCAAAAGCGCUUGUUAGAAAUCAGAGCUUUGUGUGUAAAUCCGGAGAGCAGAAUUGUGAUGUAGUGUGCUAGGGAUAUGAGGCGAAUGGGAGGUUCUCAACUCGGUCAGUAUAUGAGGCGGAGUGCUGAGAUUCUUUUGGAAGUGAAAGUAUGGGUCGAGGUUGGGAUAAAAUUUGGCAUUAGAAAGGACCUAGUAGAUGGCAAUUUUUGUUAUGGUCAAUUUGGAGUGGAAGGUUGAUCACUAAUGCCGAGAAAUUCAGAAGGCACCUUUGCAUUGAUGGAAAAUGCCCUAUUUGCAAGCGAGAGAAUCGAUAUUGCAUGCUCUAAGGGAUUGUUCUAGAGUACAGAGGAUUUGGAAAAAUCUAGUUCACCCAAGUAGAUGGGAAGAGUUUAUGAACACUAAUCAUAAGGAAUGGCUGGACUGGAAUUUGAGAAUGGUUAAGGUGGGAGUCCAUGGUGAUAUAUGCUGGCAAUUCAUUUUCCAAGAGAAGGUGUACUCAGUUUGGAAAACGAGGAAUGAGUUCAACAUAACAGGAGAGGAGUCAAAGUUGAAGAUCUCAGCUAAUCAGAUUGUGGUUCAGGCGAGACAAGCACAGAUAGCAAUACUAAAAGGAAUAGAUAUAAAUAGGAAAGAUUGGCGCUUCAUUCACUAGAAGAAAUCUUCAAAGGGCUAGACCAAAUUAAAUGUAGAUGGGGCGUCAGCAAGCAAUCUUAGGGUGUCUGGAGUAGGAGGAAUUAUGAGAGAUGAGUUUGGUAUAUGGAAAGGAGGAUUUGAAGUGAAUUUGGGAUCAGCAUUGAAUAUAGCAGCGGAGUUAUGGGGAAUCAUCCAUGGACUACAGUUGGCCUGGGAAGCAGGACAUGAAAGAGUGAUUAUAGAAACAGAUUCAAAAGCUGCAAUUAUGCUUCUAAACAAACCACCUGAAUUUAGCCCUCACUCUAAUCUGCUGAAAUGAAUUGAAUAGUGGAGACACAAGGAAUGGGAGGUAAGGAUAUCGCAUAUUUGGCGAGAAGGGAACAACAAUGCGAAUUGCUUAGCUAAAGACAGCCUCAACAAGGAGCCGGGGAUGUAUAUUGCUUAAGGAGUCCUCCAGACAUAGUUAGCAGAUGGAUGAAUUUGGAUAUCAUGGGCCCCCCGGUUUAUUAUCUAUGCAUUGAGCUGCUUAGCUCUCCUUUGUAACUGAAAAAAACAAAUAAGGAGACUGUCAGACAAUCAGUCAUCAGAACAACCAAAUAUCCCUCCCUGG